rnacentral:rRNA from 1 species
UACAGAGGGUGCGAGCGUUGUCCGGAUUUACUGGGCGUAAAGAGCGCGCAGGCGGUCGUACAAGUCGCGUGUGAAAGCCCCCGGCUCAACUGGGGAGGGUCACGCGAUACUGGUCGACUCGAAGGCAGGAGAGGGUAGUGGAAUUCCCGGUGUAGUGGUGAAAUGCGUAGAUAUCGGGAGGAACACCAGUGGCGAAGGCGACUACCUGGCCUGUUCUUGACGCUGAGGCGCGAAAGCUAGGGGAGCAAACGGG